rnacentral:rRNA from 1 species
AUUGAACGCUGGCGGCAGGCCUAACACAUGCAAGUCGAACGAGUGGCGGACGGGUGAGUAAUGUCUGGGAAACUGCCUGAUGGAGGGGGCUAACUACGGGAAACGGUAGCUAAUACCGCAUACCAUCGGAUGUGCCCAGAUGGGAUUAGCUAGUAGGUGGGGUAAAGGCUCACCUAGGCGACGAUCCCCAGCUUGUCUGAGAGGAUGACCGGCCACACUGGAACUGAGACACGGUCCAGACUCCUACGGGAGGCAGCAGUGGGGAAUCUUGCACAAUGGGCGAAAGCCGGAUGGAGCCAUGCCGCGUGUGUGAAGAAGGCUUUCGGGUUGUAAAAUACUUUCGUCGGGGAAGCGUUACCCACCGAGAAAGCACCGGCUAACUCCGUGCCAGCAGCCGCGGUAAUUC